GGCUGGUCCGAGUGUGUGGUGUUUACAACUAAUUGAUCAGAAACAGUUACAGAUUCCUUUGUUCCUUCUCCACUCCUACUGCCUCACUUAACCAGCCUUUA
ensembl:misc_RNA Y_RNA Y RNA